ACACAGGGCUCUUAUUAAUAAUCCCCCAGGGCUCAGCAUUCGCUCACAGGGGCUCCGGCACUCGGCUUCCCGGCCCCCCUUUUUGGAUGGCACUGCAACAGGCUGGCAAUCCAAGCCUUACCUGGGCAUUGUUUGAGGACUUCCUUGACCUCAGUGGGAAGGACACACCUAACGCAGACACCUAGAGCAGUCAGCACUGCUUUCACACUGACAUUGCUCCUCGCCACUCUGAGCUCACAGGUGAGUUAAUGUUGGCUUAAUUCUAGCAGAAGUAAGCAGAAAUUAUAGUUUGCUCCUCCUCCACAAGCAUAUUAAUGAUUCUCAGCAGUGCUGUGAAUCCCCCCAAGCACACAGCCUUUACCAGGUUCUGAAUUUCUAAACAAAGGCUUAUUCUCCUGAGUGUUUACGGGCAUUAAGUAAACAUUACAGUUUUUAGUUAAGUGCAAAGACAUUUAAAACCAUCUCAAUUACUCAGCUUUCAUUUAUGCAGCACCAUGACCUCCCCAUCCCAGGAGGCUGGAGGAACAAGGCUGAGUUACUAAAUAAAAAGAUGUACCUUUGCAAGAAAACAGAAAUGAAGCAAUGACUCCACUACCUUUUCACAGAAUCAUGGAAUAGAAUCACAGAACCAUUAAGAUCAGAAAGAGCACUAAAAUCACCGAGUCCAACCAUCAACCUAUGCCUGUCACUGCUGUGAUCCAGGAAGUGCCCACCUCCAGUGGGUAAGGAGUUGACUGCAUGAAUUCCCUCCUCAAAGACCUCCCAGAAGGUUCACCAACCAACAAGAACAAGAGGAGGCACCAGACACCCUCUGCACUUGACAAAGCAUUGCUGGAAUCUCACUGCUUCAUCCAUUUGCUGGCAGGGCACAGCUUUCCUUGUCAGGUUUCCGCUUGACCCGAGACACUAACGAGAUGCUGGCAGGUAAUCAUUUAUAACUGCAUUUGCUCUCUAAAGAUGUGAAGUUGUUUGCUUUCCCCAGUCCAACUCUUACUGCAGACUACGGCAAAGCUGCUAAAAAGGCUCGAAUUAGGCUCUGUACUAUUUAGUGUCUGUAAGCACAGGCAACCCAGUGCGGGAAGACUUGCAAAUUUAAAGCAUUAAACAAAAAUAUCUCAAGAAACCCAGCAGAAGCUAAGGAGCAAUUAAUUAAUUUGUAUACAUCAAGUUUUCUCCUCCUAUUUCAGAAGAUCUUCUAAGCAUUGGGAGCCAGGCGGGCAGAAGAGGACAGUGACUCUCACUUUACUGCAAUAAAGACACAAGGCAGUGCAUGGUUACUUAUUACACUUCCUUUUGCUCGGCGCUGGAUUGAGCCACAGACCUGGAGCCGUGGGCAGAUCCCAGCGCUCACUGCUGACGAUGCACAAAGAUAAGUCAGGAGUUCCUCCUGGAGGAAGAGAAGCAUCCAUCCACGCCUUGGGCUACAGGCAGCGCCGGUAACAAAUCGCUUGACUAGUUUAUCUUCCUUAUGCCAGUAUCACAAUUCUCUCAAACUAUUUUUCUGCUGCUGAGUCCCAGCGUGGUCCCGGGUCACUCACUGGAAGUCAAACCGAGCACUGCUGUAAUAGAGCACAGCCUGGGGAUCGUUCGCAUCCAAGCGUGGCACUGCUGAACCUCGCCUGAUUAAUUGUGAAAGCGGGAUCUCUACGCAAAUCGUUUUAAAGGAGGAUUUGAUUAAGCUUAAAAGGUGUCUUCUAGGAAUAUUUGUGCCAGCGAGACUUGAUCACACAGGGAGAGAAGAUGCAACAAAGGGAAAUUAGCUUGAAGGAGAACAUCCAGUUAACUGCUUUUCUUUCUCAGCUACAUUAAUAACAGAGCGAUAAAAGAACAUUCCGAAAUCCAAACAAAUUUCACAGCACAGUAUACUGAUCGGAGGCACAAAGUCACCCGGGCAUCAGAAAAGCUGUCCCUCAAGUUGUAUUGGAAAGGCCAAAGAUAAUGGGAAAUUCAUACAGAUAACACUUUUAUCGUUAGUGAAUUUGGGCAGUCCUGAUUGGAGGUGGCUCUUCAAGAGAAGUGGGACACAUGGGCCAAAAGAAUAGAAAUGGCUUCAGUGAGGCUUUUCCCCCACAGCACAGGUAUAUUUCCGGAGCUGAUGUACAGCCCCAAGUCACAGGAUGCCAGCGCUGUUAAAAUUUGGGACCCUCCCGAGGACAUCCUUGUCUAGAAACUGCAGGAGCUCACAGUGCUGGCCCACACUUCCCACUCUGCCUUGUGGCAGGAAGCAGAUUUAACCCUCCCUCAUGAGGAAUAGCACAGGACAGGAGGACAACCACAGAAUCGCUAAGGUUGGAAAUGCCCCCUAUGAUCACCUAGUCCAACACAUCCACCCACCACCAAUACUGCCCACCAACCACACCGCUCAGUGCCACAGCUCCCCAGUUCUGGACUGUGGGACGCUGACUCUCCCACCUCCCUGGGCAGCCUGUGCCAAUGCCUCACCACUCGGGGUCAAGGAGGGACCCUCUCUACAGGAAAGCAGGACAAGAAAUUCAGCUAUCAGCGCUGGAGACGGACAAGCCUAUGGGAUGUGCCAGGCUUCACUUUGGGGAAACUCAACACUUAGUAAAUGUUGAAAACAAAAUAAAUUCCUCCAAACCAACCCUUCCUCAAAUGAAUUCUUUCAUCUUAUGUGAAGACAAACAGAAAAACCCCUCCAGCUGGAGGCACAACGCAGAGCGCUGCCAUGCACAGGUCCCUCACAUCACCACCCCCUCCUGGGAGCGUGGCCGUGCCCAUCGCCCACAGCUGAGGCAGAGCCCCAGGUGGGAAAUGAGCCCUUUCAGGAUGUAAUGCAUUAGAUCAGUUUUCAACAUAUAAUUUAAGAUUAAAUUAAUUACAGCCUAGAAAAAGCUUAUUUCUCUCUAAGGGAUUCCAAACAACGAGCUCGGCAGCAAUAACCAUGCCUGCUGAUGAGAGAUGGACUAGUCUGGCACAAGCCUUUCUCUGCCAAACCCAGCGUGCCCACUCUUCUAUUUUAUUAAUCCACCUCAGCCUCCUUUCAAUCAGGAGAAUUCCAAGCCUUGCAUGCACAAGGUAAUAAAGACGACUGCAGCUGCCUGGGCCUCCUAUUCAUGUUUUCCUUUCGGCUAUCAGCUCACUUUUGUCAGACACACAGUAUCAUCUUCCACUGUAAAAGCAUAUUCAGGUCCUGCUAAGCCAUACAGCUCCACAUGGUAGGUCUGAGAAGGUAUGCAUCUGCUCUCCCAAAGCGUGCAGAUGGACAGAAGUUUCUCCCAUUUCUUAUAAGUCCCUUUUACUUCCAUUAUCUCACAUGCUGCCUUCCAAACUACCUUAGAGAAAACUACAGCAAAACGGCCAUCCAAAAUGAGAGCAGGUCUUCGCCUCUCCCUCAACUCAGCUCUGGUUGAACACUACCAUCAGCCAGAUGACAUUUGUCAGCUUUCUUCUCACUCCCAUUUCUUGAUCUUCCCAGUGCUGAGCAAUUCUGUAAGUCGCUGCUCUUUGUUGCCAUUUUCUAGGCUGGGUGUGCAAACUUCCAUGCAAACUUUCCCCAUUUCAGUAAGGGAAACUUCCAGGUGAUUUCUCCAUUUUUGGUAAAGUUCUGACCUGCAUGUCACUGCCCUCAAGAUUUUCCCUUCUUGAUGACUUCAGCAAUGAGUCCCCUUCAUAUUUUUGUAGUAAUUCCCUCCCCCAUCCUCCAGCAAAAGCAAACAAUUCCCCUACAAAUGUCAGCAGCCUUUUUUGUUUGGUUUUUAAAAACACACACCUUGUUUACCAUUUACUAAAAGCAACAUCAGAAAUGACAUUUCUUACUGUUUCAUGGACAACGCAGCAGCCAAGCCAGAGCAUGGUCUAGAAAGGAACAAGACAAUAGGUUUGAUCCUCAGUUUUCUCUCCAAGAGGACACUAUCUUACAGACUCUUUAUGGAACAAAACAACCCACGCUUGUUUGGAAGCACAUGCUUGGGGAACACAGGUUUGCUUUACCUUUGCUUCAGGCAAUUCCCCAAGUAAGCGUCUGGGCACAGUCAGCUCUGGCUCUCCCAACAUGUGCCAACUGCUCCUCUUGGUUUUGCUUGGGGCUGGGGAAAGCGUGUGGGCAGGAGGAGGAGGAGGUUUGUUUUCAAGGUUAAGGGCUGAAGGAUCCAUGUCAAAGAACCCCAUGAAGCGGCAGUUACCACCUCACAGGGCUGAGACAGCGCUCUCCACCGCCAGGAGACUUGCAGAGACGCUCUUCAGUAGAACACACUCAACUCUUAAGUCUGCCUGUGCUUCCACCACACCAGGCCAGUCACCAUCCCCACCCUCCUCUCUAUUUCAUACAUAAAGAUGUGACUAAUUGCUGACCCCAUACAUUACCGGCAUUGGAAACCCACAGCUAAGGACGGGGCAAGCCCCCGGGGGGUCCCCACAGCCAAACUCUGAGAGGUAGGUGAUGGGUUUCAGAACGGCGUUUCGCAUCAGUCACAUUUUACUACGUGUUUUAUUACAUCAAUGGCUUGAAAAAAUUUUUAUUUGAUGUCAGCAAACAUUGGAAAUCAUAGAAAAAUGAAUUAUGUAGAAUUUCACAAAGGAAUUUACCCCACUAUAAUUCCUCGUACAGUAAAAUAAUUCAAAACCAAAUGUUACUUUUCAGUGGCUAAGCAAUUUUAUAAUGCUAUGAACAUUCAUCACAGUAAGUGUGCUGAAUAAUAGAAAACAGGCAAAAAAGACAUUUAAAAUAUUACUUACAACAGCAUUAUUACAACAUACUUUCUUUAAAAUCCCGACGAGUAUUUUAUCACUUCAAAAGCUAUACAGCAUUUCCAUUAUAUUUGCAAACUUAACCUUAUACAUCUUUUAAAAUCUUGAAAAAACUUUUAAGCAAUCUAUAAGCAGUUAACAAAAUUGAUAAAAUCUACAUAAUGGAAUACUAUACACUCCAGUAUAAAUUUUAUUUUAGGAGAAUAUGAAUGUAAACACUCAUUAUUAUACAACAUGCAUAGACUAUACUGACCUUCCAUCUUCUGAACUGUAACUUUCACUGCAAUUGUGCUUUACUAUCAACAGGAAAAGCUGCAUUAAUCCAGGGAGUGGCAGAAAGUAUUUGCUUUAGGGGCAUUGCACAAGAUCGCUAGAUUUUGACUUGCUGAAGACAAGCUGGAGCUAAUAACAUUUUUUUUUUUCCUCUUUUCUUUUUCUUUUCUUUUUUUUUUUUUAAGAGUAGUAUGAGGCCAUUCGCCGUCCAAUGGGGAAUGCACAAUUUUGUACAGGUUGGAGAAAGAACGCAAUUAUCAGAGAAGUCUCUCAGGACGUUUCUUGCGCUUCGCUGGCUCGGGGAUGGAUGUUCACAAACCCAGUGUUGGAGUUAGUGUAAUGCACUGCUUGGCUCAUAUUUGGUGUGCAAGAAUACCGACAGCAUUUCAGCAAUUUAGAGAAUAAAAACUGAAAUUUAAAGUGACAGUGAGCAUAUUUUAUUACGUUACGUUUCAGAUGCCUUUGUACAGGAAA